AUUGAACGCUAGCGGGAUGCCUUACACAUGCAAGUCGAACGGAGUGGCGAACGGGUGGGUAAUGUAUCGGAACGUGCCCCGUAGCGGGGGAUAACUACGCGAAAGCGUAGCUAAUAACGCAUACUCUUUGCGCGGCAGAUAUCGGAUUAGCUAGUUGGUGGGGUAACGGCUGACCAAGGCGACGAUCCGUAGCUGGUUUGAGAGGACGACCAGCCAAACUGGGACUGAGACACGGCCCAGAUUCCUACGGGAGGCAGCAGUGGGGAAUGUUGGACCAGGGGGGAAACCCUGAUCCAGCCAUCCCGCGUGUGUGAUGAAGGCCUUCGGGUUGUAAAGCACUUUUGGUAGGAAAGCGGUACCUGCAGAAUAAGCACCGGCUAACUACGUGCCAGCAGCCGCGGUAAUAC
rnacentral:rRNA from 1 species